rnacentral:rRNA from 1 species
AUUGAACGCUGGCGGCAUGCCUUACACAUGCAAGUCGAACGGCAGCACGGGUGCUUGCACCUGGUGGCGAGUGGCGAACGGGUGAGUAAUACAUCGGAACAUGUCCUGUAGUGGGGGAUAGCCCGGCGAAAGCCGGAUUAAUACCGCAUACGAUCUACGGAUGAAAGCGGGGGACCUUCGGGCCUCGUGCUAUAGGGUUGGCCGAUGGCUGAUUAGCUAGUUGGUGGGGUAAAGGCCUACCAAGGCGACGAUCAGUAGCUGGUCUGAGAGGACGACCAGCCACACUGGGACUGAGACACGGCCCAGACUCCUACGGGAGGCAGCAGUGGGGAAUUUUGGACAAUGGGCGAAAGCCUGAUCCAGCAAUGCCGCGUGUGUGAAGAAGGCCUUCGGGUUGUAAAGCACUUUUGUCCGGAAAGAAAUCCUUGGCCCUAAUACGGUCGGGGGAUGACGGUACCGGAAGAAUAAGCACUGGCUAACUACGUG